AGCUCCAAUAGCGUAUAUUAAAGUUGCUGCAGUUAAAAAGCUCGUAGUUGGAUUUGUGGGAUGGCCGUCCGGCGGGGGGCCAUUUAUUGGUCCCGUUUGUCCUGGUUUUCGGCCUUCCCUUUCUCGGGUCUAGCGUAUUGGCUGGCAUUAGGUUGUCGGCCGCUUCGCGCCCGUCGUUUACUGUGAAAAAAUUAGAGUGUUCAAAGCGGGCCUACGCUCUGAAUAUAAUAGCAUGGGAUAACACGACAGGACUCUGGCCUAUCGUGUUGGUCUGUAGGACCAGAGUAAUGAUUAAGAGGGACAGUCGGGGGCAUUCGUAUUCUGUUGUCAGAGGUGAAAUUCUUGGAUUUACGGAAGACGAACAUCUGCGAAAGCAUUUGCCAAGGAUGUUUUCAUUGAU
rnacentral:rRNA from 1 species